GGGUGAAGGGAUGACAGCUGAGUUUGGCAGUUGAGAAGGCCUCACCCACCUUGUUGUCAUAGCAACAGAGAGGAAAAGGACAAAAUGAUAAGGAAUCUGAGGCAGAUGGAUAUUAAGGAACUUACCCAAGAUCAUACUUUAAGCGGUGUGAUAUCAUGGACAGAGAACUAGUCUUGGGGGUAGGAAGAUCUGAGUUCAAAUCCAGACUCUGACAUAUACUGACUGUGUGAUCUUAGGUAAGUCACUUACUUUCUUAACCUUCUAAGCAACUCUAAAGAUAAGUUGAAGAAUAGUCAUUAACCUGAAUUGAUAGAGGGAGCUCUGCCAUCUUGGCAUCCAUCACUUUAAUAAAAUUAUAUAUAUGAAUAAUACCUGUGGGUAG
rnacentral:lncRNA from 1 species